GCUGAGUCUCCCUCUAAGAGUAAAAAACAUGCUGCCAUCAAAUAUAUAAGCUUCCGCUGCUUCAAAACGGCGUGCAGGAAUCAGAGACAUUACAUCAGGAAGAUACUGCAGAGAUAUUCUACUCCAUCUCAUUCAUUGUACAGAUGGGACUGUCUAGUUGCAGGAAAACAAGCUCAGGGCUCCCACGGAUUCUACAUUAUGGGAGAAACAUGACAGAAGUCAGCUGCUCUAGAAUCAACAGACUCCUCUCCAGUUGGCAUCCCACCAUACAGCAGUGGCGUCAUACGUUCAUACAUAUGCUGCAGCCCAAGGGGGAGGAUCAUCAACGCAGGAGGCACCCACAGGUGCCUCUCAGAGGUGGUGAAAGAGGAAGUGGGGGCAGGCAGAGGUGUCCCAGCUAAGAAUUAUGUGAGGUUGAGGGAAAAAUUGUUUUUUCUCCCUGGAAAAGUAAAGCUCCCUGAAUCUUCCUGUGACGAUGUAUAUAUAAUAGAAAAGAAAUACAGUUUACACACACACACAUACACAAUUCUCACUCAACCACAGAGGCACCCAGAGAUAAAUCAUGCUGGGAAUCCCAUUUCCCUUCAUCAGGAUUAGCCUGGGAUUCUAAACUCCCUGAAGGAGACAAAUUACCAGUGGACAAGAACACAGCCUCUGGAGUCCAAUAGACCUGGUGUAUUCAUUAGGGCUUAAUGUGAAUACAAUGAGAUGACAUGCGUAAGUGCCCGGUAUAUAGGAGGUGCUCUGAAGAUGCUGCCAACUCCCCCUUGGAUUUCUUUGUUCCUAAAGUCAAGCUCAGUGAUCGUACAUAGUAGG